CGGGGCGUAGCGCAGUUUGGUUAGCGCGCUUGGUUCGGGACCAAGAGGUCGCCGGUUCGAAUCCGGCCGCCCCGA
rnacentral:tRNA from 2 species